CCCCUAGAUGUUCUGGGCCGCACGCGCGCUACACUGAACAGUUCAACAAGUCUUAACCUUGGCCGAUAGGUCUGGGUAAUCUUUGAACGCUGUUCGUGAUUGGGAUAGACCUUUGCAAUUAUGGGUCUUCAACGAGGAAUGCCUAGUAAGCGCAAGUCAUCAGCUUGCGUUGAUUACGUCCCUGCCCUUUGUACACACCGCCCGUCGCUCCUACCGAUUGAAUGGUCCGGUGAAGCGUUCGGACCGUGGCCUUUGGACGGUUCGCCGUCUGUUGGCUGCGGGAAGUUCGUUAAACCUUAUCAUUUAGAGGAAGGAGAAGUCGUAACA
rnacentral:rRNA from 1 species